UAUAGAUCAGUGGCUAAGAUGAGCGAGCGCGCGGGGGUGCUGGACAGGACACGACGGGAUUCUGCAGCGCAAGCACCCCGGCGCGCUCGCUCAUCUUAGCCACUGAUCUAUAUA
rnacentral:miRNA from 1 species